AAGACUAUACUUUCAGGGAUCAUUUCUAUAGUUUGUUACUAGAAAAUAGUUUGUUACUAGAAAAUAUAGUUUGUUACUAUAGUUUGUUACUGGCAGCACAUUUCAGUGAUAUAGGAUGGGUCACAAAACUUACUUGUGUGACUCAACCUGAUCAAUGAACUCAAUCUGUCAUCUCCUGGGAGAAUGACAACUGUGCUCAAGUUGGCAGA